AUGGUCACCAGGCUCUUCUGGGUGGUUCUUUGUCUCCUGUGGGCAGGACACCUGAAUGCCCGGAUCACCCAGAGCCCAACAUACAAGGUCACAGGAAGAGAAAAGAAGGUGACUCUCAGAUGUCAACAGACUUAUAACCACAACAAUAUGUACUGGUAUCGACAAGACCUGGGGCAUGGGCUGAGGCUGAUUUAUUACUCAGUCGGUGCUGGGCUCACCACCAAAGGAGAUGUUGCUGAUGGGUACAGUGCCUCUAGAUCAAAUAUAGAAAACUUUGCCCUCACGCUGGAGUCAAUGACCCCCUCCCAGACAUCUGUGUACUUCUGUGCCAGCAGUGGCUGUGCAAACACCGGACAGCUGUACUUUGGGAAAGGUUCCAAGCUCACCGUGCUGGACGACGUUUACAAGGUGAAGCCACCCACCGUCACUGUGUUUGAACCAUCCGAAGCAGAGAUUGCCCGGACACAGAAGGCCACACUUGUGUGCCUGGCCACAGGCUUCUACCCCGACCACGUGGAGCUGAGCUGGUGGGUGAAUGGGAAGGAGAUCCGGAGUGGGGUCAGCACAGACCCUCAGCCCUACAAGGAGCAGCCCAACGACAAUAACUCCAGCUACUGUCUGAGCAGCCGGCUGAGGGUCUCUGCCACCUUCUGGCACAAUCCUCGCAACCACUUCCGCUGCCAAGUCCAGUUCUUUGGGCUAGAGGAAGAAGACAAGGUCAUUUGGAAUGACAUCCGCCCCAUGCCCAUCACCCAGAACGUCAGUGCUGAGGCCUGGGGCAGAGCAGAUUGUGGCUUCACCUCAGUGUCCUACCAGCAAGGGGUCCUGUCUGCCACCAUCCUCUAUGAGAUCCUGCUGGGGAAGGCCACUGUGUAUGCGGUGCUGGUCAGCGCCCUGGUGCUGAUGGCCAUGCUCAAGAAAAAGGAUUCCUGAGACCAGUUCCAGAAGCACAUCCUCAGUCAUUUUUAAUCCAUACUCUAGGUUCACCUUCACAUGCUUCCGGUCUGUGUUCCCAAUGAGGUAUUCUCUCUCUUCGUCCUCUUAUCUCCUACCUACAUGAGUAUCUGUCCCUUCUUUCUGCUGCCCUGAAGACUGAGUUCCUCAAUCCUGAAUCUGAGAUGAACUAAACCAAUAAAAAUGCCCUGCUGGA